UGCAAUGAUGAUAACAUGGAAUAUAGGAAGUGCCGUCAGAUGCGAUAACUGACGAUAAUCUCUGUACCUAAUCUGACC
rnacentral:snoRNA from 2 species